GAGAAGUCGGCCGUGGUAUAAAUACGGAGCGUUUUAUCACCGGAGGAGGUCGCCAGGAGGGAUGGAGAGAAGGCACAGCAGGAAAGCGGUCAAUACCCUCACAGCAGGAAGCAACAGAGCUGAACAGCUGGAGGAGGGAAGGAAAGCAGCGAGGGAAAAUGAAGUAUUAAGCCAUCUGUGAUACGAGAGCUCAUCAGUGAGGAGGAUGCCAGCAGCAACAGCGCGCCAAACAAACGUACCAAGGAGGUCAAAAAGAGGAAAGGAGACGACAGCCUACCCAGCUCCCAGACAAAGUUUGACAGCCCCAUCUACUGUGCAAAAAAAGCCAAAACCCACAAAGAUGACAAAAAAUGUGCUGGCAAUAUGCCGGUACAGACGUGUGUGUAUUUAGUGCAUGCAUAUGAAUUUUUAUUAUAGCUUUAGCAAACUGAUGAAAACAAACAAUUAAAAUAUGAGAUAUUAAUAAAAGAAAAAUGUACCUAAGAAAAAUAUUAACAGCAGCAGCGAGGGCUUAGUGUUGCUAUUUUGAAAAACCGGUUUAUUUAAUCCAUCCACACCAGUGUUCAAAAAUAAUAUUCCUACAAAAGUCACUACUCAUUACACAAUUUUCAUAAUAAAAUGCAGUUACUUCAAG